CGAGUCGUGGGGCAGCAGGUUUGUAGCAAUACAGAUGCUGGCGACCGGCAAAUGGGUGCGGAACACGUACAGAACCUUCCUUUGAGCGGGGAAUAGCCCAGAGAAAUUUGGAUUAAUACCCCAUAGUAUAAUGAAGUGGCAUCACUUUAUUAUUAAAGAUUUAUCACUCGAAGAUGGCUGUGCGGCUGAUUAGGUAGUUGGCGGGGUAAAGGCCCACCAAGCCUGCGAUCAGUAACUGGUGUGAGAGCACGACCAGUCACACGGGCACUGAGACACGGGCCCGACUCCUACGGGAGGCAGCAGUAAGGAAUAUUGGUCAAUGGAGGCAACUCUGAACCAGCCAUGCCGCGUGGAGGAUGAAGGUCCUCUGGAUUGUAAACUUCUUUUAUAUGGGACGAAAAAAGGCUUUUCUAAGUCGUCUGACGGUACCAUAUGAAUAAGCACCGGCUAACUCCGUGCCAGCAGCCGCGGUAAUACGGAGGGUGCAAGCGUUAUCCGGAUUCACUGGGUUUAAAGGGUGCGUAGGUGGGUUGGUAAGUCAGUGGUGAAAUCCCCGAGCUUAACUUGGGAACUGCCAUUGAUACUAUCAGUCUUGAAUACCGUGGAGGUCGGCGGAAUAUGUCAUGUAGCGGUGAAAUGCUUAGAUAUGACAUAGAACACCAAUUGCGAAGGCAGCUGGCUACGCGGAUAUUGACACUGAGGCACGAAAGCGUGGAGAUCAAACAGGAUUAGAUACCCUGGUAGUCCACGCCCUAAACUAUGGAUACUCGACAUUUGCGAUAAACUGUAAGUGUCUGAGCGAAAGCAUUAAGUAUCCCACCUGGGAAGUACGAUCGCAAGAUUGAAACUCAUAGGAAUUGGCGGGGGUCCGCACAAGCGGUGGAGCAUGUGGUUUUAAUUCGAUGAUACGCGAGGAACCUUACCUGGGCUAKAAUGCUGGGAGACUGUG
rnacentral:rRNA from 1 species